rnacentral:tRNA from 1 species
CCCUGUGGCUCAGUUGGUAGAGCAUGGUGUUUGCAACGCCAGCAUGGUGUGUGCAACGCCAGGGUUGUGGGUUCGAUUCCCACUGGGG